rnacentral:rRNA from 1 species
GACGAACGCUGGCGGCGUGCUUAACACAUGCAAGUCGAACGGAAGGGCCCUGCUUUCGUGGGGUUCUCGAGUGGCGAACGGGUGAGUAACACGUGAGUAACCUGCCCUUGGCUUUGGGAUAACUUCAGGAAACUGGGGCUACUACCGGAUAGGAGCUCCUGCUGCAUGGUGGGGGUUGGACAGUUUCGGCGGUGGGGGAUGGACGCGCGGCUUAUCAGCUUGUGGGGGGGGUAGCGGCUUAGCCAGGCCUUGACGGGUAGCCGGCCUGGGAGGGUGACCGGGGACAUUGGGACUGAGAUACGGCCCAGACUCCAACGUGAGGCAGCAGGGGGGAAUGUUGCACAAUGAGGGCAAGUGUGAUGCAGCAACGCUGCGUGCGUAAUGCCGGCCUUCUGGUUAUAAACCGCUGUAGCCUGAGACGAAGCGGGAGUGACGGUAACGGGUAAAUAAGCACCGGCUAACUACGUG